rnacentral:lncRNA from 1 species
GUCCUUGAAGAGUUUAUUGACGAGCUGUUGGUAAAUCGUAUUUGCAUUCUUUAAACACCACUACAAAAUAAGGCUACGAUAGCGGUUGAAAACUGCUAUUGUAGUCAUUGCCGUAGUCCAAAAAAUUACUGUCAUAGCCUACAAUAGCAGUUAUGCCAACCGCUGCCACCGUGACUGUCGUCGUAGAUUAUGACAGUAGUUUUUUGAGAUAC